rnacentral:rRNA from 1 species
UAGGGAAUCUUCCACAAUGGGCGAAAGCCUGAUGGGAGCAACGCCGCGUGUGUGAUGAAGGGUUUCGGCUCGUAAAACACUGUUGUAAGAGAAGAAUGACAUUGAGAGUAACUGUUCAAUGUGCGACGGUAUCUUACCAGAAAGGAACGGACUAAAUACGUGCCAG